rnacentral:rRNA from 1 species
GUGGGGAAUAUUGCACAAUGGGCGAAAGCCUGAUGCAGCAACGCCGCGUGAAGGAUGAAGGGUUUCGGCUCGUAAACUUCUAUCAACAGGGACGAAAAAAAUGACGGUACCUGAAUAAGAAGCCCCGGCUAACUACGUGCCAGCAGCCGCGGUAAUACGUAGGGGGCAAGCGUUAUCCGGAAUUACUGGGUGUAAAGGGAGAGUAGGCGGCAUGAUAAGUUAGAUGUGAAAGCCUUGGGCUUAACCCGAGGAUUGCAUUUAAAACUAUCAAGCUAGAGUACAGGAGAGGUAAGUGGAAUUCCUAGUGUAGCGGUGAAAUGCGUAGAUAUUAGGAAGAACACCAGUGGCGAAGGCGACUUACUGGACUGAAACUGACGCUGAGGCUCGAAAGCGUGGGGAGCGAACAGGAUUAGAUACCCGUGUAGUCC